rnacentral:rRNA from 1 species
GAUGAACGCUGGCGGCGUGCCUAAUACAUGCAAGUCGAGCGAACAGACGAGGAGCUUGCUCCUUUGACGUUAGCGGCGGACGGGUGAGUAACACGUAGGUAACCUACCUAUAAGACUGGGAUAACUUCGGGAAACCGGAGCUAAUACCGGAUAAUAUUUCGAACCGCAUGGUUCGAUAGUGAAAGAUGGCUUUGCUAUCACUUAUAGAUGGACCUGCGCCGUAUUGGCUAGUUGGUAAGGUAACGGCUUACCAAGGCAACGAUACGUAGCCGACCUGAGAGGGUGAUCGGCCACACUGGAACUGAGACACGGUCCAGACUCCUACGGGAGGCAGCAGUAGGGAAUCUUCCGCAAUGGGCGAAAGCCUGACGGAGCAACGCCGCGUGAGUGAUGAAGGUCUUCGGAUCGUAAAACUCUGUUAUUAGGGAAGAACAAACGUGUAAGUAACUGUGCACGUCUUGACGGUACCUAAUCAGAAAGCCACGGCUAACUACGUG